GGCUCAUACUUUCAAAGGUCUCAGUCCAAUCAUGGCCGACUCCAUUCCUCAGGGCUGGAGUUUCAGGUCUAUUCUGAUAACAGUGUCCAUGUUCGAUAAGUGCCUUACCAGUGGCUGAGGAGUUAGAGUCAGUUACCCAGGGGAGUCAGAAACAAGGUGGCCGGUGGGGAGAAACAGCACAAUCCACGCCUUAGUCUCUCCUUCCUAUGUCCCUUUGUGCCCAGAGAAGUAUGUUGUUCAUGAGAUGCUAGGCAAAUAUUUUCACAUAUCCCAGAGACUCUGGAGGUAGAUGUCUCAGACCUCCUUAAAAUCUGUUGGCAACUCUGGUCAUUUGGAAGAAUGUUUUGAAAAUGUGAGCUUUCUGAUGGCUGUACUCUGGGAGACAACAGACGAGGAAACAUGCAGUGAGACUGCUAAUUGCAUUUACUGGACCACAUGCCUUCCCUGGCUCUCAGAGGGAUACAUGUUUCCAAGAAGUAUGGGGUUUGUAUGAGGUCCAAGGGCACUUAGACAAUGGAGAAAACCCAUCUUUCAAGCUGUGGUUAACGUCUGUGAGUGUCUGAAGACCUAGUUCACUCUAUUGCCUUAUGUCUGAACAACUAGCACUUUGGGAUACUCAUGUUUAGUUUUCAUGGAUACAAAUUUAAAGAUUUUCUUUUUCUUAGUCUGAAUAAAUAAACCCUGGUUCAAUGGUU